AACAGUGCAGGUGGAGUAAUUAAACACACUUUGAUGACCAGGCUGUUAACCCUCUGACUCGGAAAGACUUGCUAUUUUGCCCCAAAUCCACUGAUUAUAAAGUAUAGAGAGAGAAAGCCGCGCGCCGCGGUCUCUGUCUGUCUUUGUUUACAUCCGUCUUUGGUGUCGGCCCAACAUCCAAUCAAAUUAGGGCCACGUUUGAUUGAUGUGACAGUCCAACCAAUCAAAUUGCAGAAAAACAUAGUCCCGCCUCCAUUUAAAAGCGCGAGUUCCUGUUUGCGGGUGUUUUUAUUUCUGGCCUAAAAGUUUAGAGAUCGUCCACAACAAACAGAGCAUGUGGAUAUAAGGAUUACUCACAGAGAUUCAACAACAACCAACUUCAUCUGACUGUAGGAGCAGCAAAAUCAAGUGACACGCUGACGAGGAUGUCUCUAGGAUGACGUCAGGAAAUGGGCGGCAUCCUCAAGGAGCGAGAGGCGGGGCUUCAGGGAUCGAGUUCUUUUACUUCCGGGUUUAUCACAUCUGCAGGAAACAUGGGUUUAAGUGAGGACACAGGGACUGCCAAGACUGGGAAUUGAACUACUGACCAACUCUAGAGACCACAUAAGAGAGGAGAAAGUGAGAGAUUAGGCUUGAGUUAAAGUGUGUUGAAGAGCAAUUCCGUAGAGGAGAGAACGAGCAGCAUCACAUGGAAAUAGUGAAAGUGGCAGAUUAUCAUGGAAACACGCUGACUUCAGAAAAACAGCAGAAUUUUCAGCUGGAACUGGAAUAGGAGAUACGAGCUCGGGAAACGCAAAGCUCACAUAGAGUGGAGGAGACACCAGAUGGUGGGGAUUAUUCCAGACUAAAAUGCUCUGGGAUCCACAGAGAGGCAAGCGAGGCCGCAAACAUCAACUGUUACAGAACCCAUCUGCCAGAAACAGACCUAAAGAAGUUGUAGGCCCACCAUCAACAUGAGGAUCAAACACUGUCUGGACACAGACCCACAACGGCCUGUUUUCAUGUUAACAUGAUAAUGGGUUAAACCAAAGAUCAGAUUCUGAUGAUCUGGAUGAGGAACACAACAAAGACUGAUUGGACUGCAUCAUUACUCUGACAUCUACAAAGACCAUGAAAGCUUAAAAAAGUGUAUUUUAUAAUGAAAACUUUAACAAGCAGAACUGAUGCUCAACUAGUUUGUAUAAAGUGUCAGAUAACUGAGAAUAAAGAUAAUAAAACAUAUAUAUAUCACCAAAAGAAAGGCAGCCACAAAGAGGAUUAGGGCCACCAGAAAAAGAAAGAAAUAAUACAUUUAUGAGAGAAAAGUCAUAUUCUCAUAAAGUCAGAAAAUGAUGAGGAAAAAAGUUGAUUUUUUUUUUUAGGGAAAAAAGUUGCAAAACUAUAUAAAAAUUUUGGAAAUUAUGAGAAUAAAGUUGUAUUUUUUUAAGAAAAAAAAAUAAACUGAUAAGAAAAAAAGUUGCGCUUUUAAAAGCAUAAGACUAUGACAAAAAUUAUAAGAAUAAAGUUGCAAUUUUACGAGAAUAAAGUCGGAAUUUUUGCAAAUAAAGUUUUAAAAUGAAAAGAAAAAA